rnacentral:rRNA from 1 species
GACAGAGGUCCCGAGCGUUGGGCGGAAUCACUGGGCUUAAAGCGUGUGUAGGCGGACUUCUAAGUACCUUGUGAAAUCCCACGGCUUAACCGUGGAACUGCUGGGUAUACUGGUUGUCUUGGGCCAUCUAGGGGCUAGCGGAACAAACGGUGGAGCGGUGAAAUGCGUAGAUAUCGUUUGGAACGCCAAUGGUGAAAACAGCUAGCUGGGGAUGUGCCGACGCUGAGACACGAAAGCCAGGGGAGCGAACGGG